CAGUUGCUGCGGAAACUAUCGGCGGAUACUUUCUGCUAUAAACCACAUUCGGAGAUUGUGGAAAAUUGCUGCAAAAGCUUGAGUGAGUCCAUGUAUAAUCACUUCUGGUCAUCGAUUGGAAGUUGACGCGAUUGGAUCUAAACGUUGGAAAUGGUUCGCUGAGAAACGUGACAGAGUAGACUGGUUUCGGAGCGGAUUUAACAAAACGGUGGAUGAAUCAUCAAACGGAAAUAUUUCUAACUAUUUUCAUCGAAUACAGCGAGUCAACAUCCGAGGUAAACAUGUUGCCGUCACCGGUGGAAGCAGAGCAAUCGGACUGUGGGCCACAAAGCAAUGCAUUCGACUCGGUGCGAAUGUCAAUAUCGUCCCAGAGAAUAUUCACCUGCUUAAAAAGCAACUGCUCGGGCGAGCGGUUCGCGAAGAAAAAAAUAGCAACGAUCUGGGGGAAAAGGUGUCCAGCACAUCGAACAAGCUUCAGGAUCUUUUUUCAUGUUGAUAAACUGUGCUUGGAUGGCAAUUUUUAUUGUUGCGAGCAGAAUCAAAAAGUACAUCCGGAUGAAUGAUAACAUGGCGUCCAGUAUUAAAACAGUAGUUUUCUUCAGGCGGAACUGCGAUGAGUACAUUAAGGUGUACGUCAAGUCAACUGCAUUAUUUGGUGUUUUCUUCUGUGUUAUUUGGAAGGACCCGAGCAAGUCUUCGAGGCACAAUCCGGGAUCAAGAACACAAGCGCUUCCUGUUGUGCAGCGGGCCGGACAUUUCCACUAAAAAGCUUCCUGGAGGGAGGCGCAGCAAAGGUGGAAGACAGUUAUGUUCGGUGAAUAAGCGUGCGGAACGAUGUCUGGAAUCGAUAUAUCUACAGUGUUAGGAUUUAGAAAUGGUGUUAGUGGCAAAAUUUAUAGUUGUAAAUAGUGUGCAUUAAGAUUGUGUAGUGUACCAAAAUAUUGG